CAACAGCGUAUAUUAAAGUUGUUGCAGUUAAAAAGCUCGUAGUUGGAUUUCUGGUUGAAGCGACCGGUCGGGCGUUGAUUCGUCUGCACUGGAGUCGGUUUUGGCCAUCCUCUAGGAAAGUGCGUCUGGUAUUAAGUUAUCGGGCGUAUGAUCCUGGUCUUUUACUGUGAAAAAAUUAGAGUGUUUAAAGCAGGCCUUCGCCUUGAAUACAUUAGCAUGGAAUAAUAAGAUAGGACUUUGGUCUAUUUUGUUGGUUUGCAGACCGAAGUAAUGAUUAAUAGGGAUAGUUGGGGGUAUUUAUAUUCCGAUGUCAGAGGUGAAAUUCUUAGAUUUUCGGAAGAUAAACUUAUGCGAAAGCAUUUACCAAGGAUGUUUNCAUUA
rnacentral:rRNA from 1 species